AAAAUGUACAUGAAAAUGAAUUCCCAAUUCAGGAAAAUAAAAUAAAAAUCGAUAUUUCCGGAAAAGUUUCUGUCACCGAUUAAGGCAACUAUAAUUUUUCAUAGUUUGUUGUCAAAACGUUUUAAAAUCCGGAUAAGAAUGCUGUUUACGAUCGCAUCUUAGUAACAACGAUUUAAUUAUGUCAACAUGUGGGAAACAAUUUUAGCAGCCGAAUACAAUUGAUUAAUAUGUUAUGGGAGUAUUGGAUCUUGUAAAAGCAGAUCGCCCAGCAGGUUGAUAAAAAUGGGUGUCAAAGCAGACCUCGGCAGAGAGCAAAUUCAAAUUUUGAUAUAACAUUGAUGGAUAAGGUUUAAUGGACGCCGAUCUCGUAAAAGCAGAUCGCCCAGCAGAGCCGGUUAUAUAAUAUGAUGAAAACUUGUUUUGUAAAAGAAAUUAUUUCCUCAAAAGACAAAAGUUUGAGCGUUUUUUGAAAAUAAUGUUGAUGAUAGACCAUUCAUGAAAUACGAUGUCAUCAUUAUUGAACUAUUUCAAAAGUUUUGAAGAUGAUCCAAAUAAUUUUAAAGAACACUGGUUCAAUGCUUUAAAUAUCUUAUCAAUUAAGUAUAUGAACUUUUGUAAUUGCUUUUCUGAAUUCGACAAUUGACCAGUUCAAUUUGAAAUCCAUUUGAAUUAAGGUAAAUUUAUAGAGAUGACCUGCUGUUGAAAAAAUACC
rnacentral:lncRNA from 1 species